rnacentral:lncRNA from 13 species
UGAAAAACUCUUCUAAUGGAAUCCAGCUUGAAAGCUACUCAAGAGCAGCUAACUGAGCAAAUAGCAGAAACAGUUUGCCAAGAACAGAACAGUAGAAAACCCCAGGCAGAGCUGAAGACAGUGACAGAAGGGAUUAUUGCUUCUGAAGAAGAAAAAAAUGAUUACAAGUUUCCUGAGGCCUCCCAGUCAAGAUUCCUGUUAAACUGUCAAACUAAUCUCCUAUUUUUUACCGUCUGUUACAACUUCAUUGCAGGAAGUGUGAAAGUGAAUGGAAAUUGUGUUGAUUCUGAUUCCAAAGUGAUGAAAACAUCGCUAUUUCUGGAUCGUGCACAGACUAAAUUUCAAGAGGAGUGAUUCUCUAUUUCUCAUGCUUGCUGUAAUGGCCAUUUACCCUCAUUUGCAUUCCCUACAGACA